CGGACGUCACACGAAGCGUAAACUCAAAAAGUUUACGCGUAAACUGGGUUGCCAGGCGUAAACUUCAUGUCAAAAAGAUUUCAGGUCCGAGAGGGUGAAAUCUUGGCGUAAACUUUGAGCGUAAACUUUUGACAGAUAAAUUUACCGCGCGCUUUUCAUCGCACAUGGUAAACAAACGAAAAACAAAAAGCGAGCGCAAUGGAAAACACAAAAAAAACAGUCCGGAACUACGCAAAACAGGAUAUCGAGCAAAGCCGUGCCGUGAUAGAGGCAGUAAGUAAGCGUCCAUCUUUAUGGAAUAAAAAGUUGGACAGCUAUAAAAAUCGAAACGUCCAAAAUGAUGGGUGGACGGCUAUAGGUAGUGAGGUAGGGCUUCCAACUGCUGAAGCUAAAGCAGUGUGGAAAAACCUCCUCAACUCCUAUAGGACGUACAGGAGUAAAGUAAAAAAGUCAAAGCAUAGUGGGGCAGGCGCAUCGGAGGUGUACGUGCCAAGAUGGUUUGCCUAUGAAGCCAUGGCGUUCGUCGAGGACACGAUGGAGGAUGCGAACCAUCAGGAUACCGUAUGUAUAAUAUAUGUUUGGUUUAAGUAUAUGUAUGUUUAAUUUAGUAUUAAUGUUUAUUGGUUAAUGUUUAAUGUUCAAUAUUAACUUUAAUUAAUUGCUUUUAAUACUUUAAAAUUAGAUUUUUUUAUAAGAUUAUAAACUAUAAGAAUAUUGAGGUGAUCCCGCGGCAUUUCCGCGUAGGACGUUUACGCCAAGUAGAAGAAGAAGCCGGUCUCGUAGUUCAGUCGUCAACUCGUACGACAUAAACAACAUGCCCGUCAUGGGUUCAAUCCUCAAAUAGACCGUGCCGCCAUACGUACGAUUGACUAUCCUGCUAUGGGGGGGAUUCAAUUAGUCACUGAAAGCCAAGCCCGCAAGUGGGUACAGGCAGGCCUUGACCGACAACGGUUGUUAAGCCAAAGAAGAAGAAAGAAGAAGAAGAAGAAACUUAGAAUUAAUUUAGCACCUAAUUAAUGUGAAACAGUUGAGCAAAUGAUUAUAGCAGUAAAAGCUUUU